UCUGCUAGGAGUAACCACUGGGAAGGAAGUAAUGUUCAUUAAGUGUGCAGGCAGUGCAGGACGAAGCAUGCUCAGUGCAAAAAAGCUUCGCUCCCGUGCCUGUCAAGCCCGAGGUUUGAACUCGGUCCAGAAUGCUGGAUUUACUUUUCAGGAAGGAGCAGUACCUGGCUGAGCUGCCUUUUCCCCUUCCCUGCUCCUCAGAGGAGUGCAAACAAUGUUCUUUUGAUGCUUUGCUGCCAGUGGGAAUCUCGCCCUGGAGAAGGAGACCAAACUUUGCUACCUGUGAAACGAAGACUGCUUAGGUAACAGUGGAAAUGAAAGCAAUUCUAUUUCCCACACAGGGUCCAAAAAUGAAUAACUUCAGUGGGAAUUGCUCAUGGAAAAGCAUCACCUGGAUUCUUCUGGAGCUGGGAGUCAGGGCCAGAAAUCUCCAGGAAAGACCUGCCCAAGGCACAAGAGGAAGAUCUCACCUCUCCAGAGGCUCCAGCACACCUGGAGCUUCAGGCAAGGAUCAUUUCCCUUCCCCGUUUCACUGCCGAGUGCUGGUGGCAGAUUGAGGGAGAAGGAAUAAACCCCAGCGUUUUAAAGGCACUCCGUGGAACACAGGGGGCUGCCAGUGCUGGUGAAUGUCUUUGGAGAAGCACACAGAAAAUCUGCCACCCCAAAUCCCAAAUCCAGCUGCUCCUUCCCACUGGCCAAGAGGCUGAGGAGGAGCUGUUUGCAGGUGCUCCAUGCCAUCUCUGACUUCUGCUGGAUAUUUCCAUAUUCCUGUAGGUUUCACCAAUUUAUUUGGGAUAUUCCUGAGGGGACAGCGAGCUGGGAGGUUCUCCAGAGGUUCAGGAGCUGCAGAGGGAAAGGAAGAGCAGGCUGUGAUGUCAUUACUGAAGAAAAACGUGUCAAGAAAAAAGGAUUUACUGUGAUUCUCACUAGUGCUUGGAGCCAAGGGACAGUUCUGGCAUGAUCUCCUUUUGGCAGCUGGAUGAGAAGGGAAUGCCAUGGCCAAGGAGGGAUUACCAAGGUUCAAGCUGUAUUCCAAGGGAACACGAGUUCUGUGCCACCUCCACACCAGAACCGUGCUUGGGGGAAACCAAGAACUGAGCAGAUCCUUUUUUUAUUCCCACUCAUUUUCAGGGUGGUUUCUCCCAAACCAAGACAAGCAAUCAGAAUACCUUCCCGAGGAGUUGGGCCUAGCAAUAUGGCAGCACACGUUCCAUAGGAAACCCUGCAGAAUAAUGCUGCUGCUGCUGCUGCUGCUGAGCUCUGUUCCCAAGGAGGGCACAAUCCCUGCCCAGCUCCAGCCCUUGACCAGUGCAGGGACAGAGAUUUCCCCAGGCCAAAACCCCACCAGGAGAGAAAUCCCGGAUUUUUAAAGAUGCUGCAGCACGAAUUUUGGCUGCUGGAAACUUUGGGAAGAGCUGGACUCUUUUUAAGCCCUCGAGCAGCAAGCACGGUGUUAACAUUCCCAAAAAGCACCAUGGCAACCUCUCAGUGUUCUUGCCUUUGUGGUCAGCAAGCAGAAGUCUCCAAAGUCAGACCUGACAGAAGAGCAGUGACUUCCACGGGUGUUCUGCUCCAGCCUUGCAGGAAUUGCAGAAAUUCCAGCCGUGCAUCCCAAAAUCCCAACCACACGCCCAGAAAUCCCAGCCAUGCAUCCAGCAGGCAGGAAGGAGGUUGGAAGGACAAAGAGAAGGGGAUCAGAUGAGGGUGACAAAAACAAUCUGGACCCUGCAGCUUCUUCCAAGGACUCACAACCUGCCAGGGAAGGGUUUUGGUGCUUUUUGACUCCAUGGAUACCCAGACAAGUCAUGCAGUGAGGUAAGAUCUUACAGUUUGUGAUUAUUGUUAUGCAUGGAGGGGGAAAAACCUCCAGGCUCCCUCUGAAAUUGUCCCUAGAACAUGGAAACUGAUUUUUCCCUGCACAAAAAGAGGUGGAGACUCAUUUAUACAAGGUAAAAGGAGGGAAUAGGAGGGGAAAAGGCACCCAAAAGUGCUUUGCCCAAGGAAGCAAAGCACGUGGCAGAAUUUCUGUGUCCUGGUUAACAGGGCUGCUGUUCUUUAAGAAUGAAUUCUUCCUCUCUGGAACUUUCCUGGUUGGGAAUGAGGUUGUGACAUGCCAGGAGACCCUCUGGUGUACCCCCAUAUGUAACAAUGAAAUCCAUUCUGUACGUCUAUGAACAAGUCAUGCAUUUUUUUCCCCUCCUGUUUUUCUGUUGUUCACCCAAUGCUCUGGCACUGUAUUGGAAUAUAUGAGGGCAUUCCAACCAAUUAAAAAAAAAAUAUAUAUAUAUAUAUAAUUUCCAAGAUGAAAGAAGAAUCUCUGCUUUCCGUGGUGAGCUUGCUUGCAAUUGUUUUUAUUUAACAGCUCUUCCCACACUGCAGUCAAUGAAUCUCUAAUCUCCUGGACUGAAAUGUCUGACACUUCUAGAAUCAUUGAUUUGCUGCCUCGAGUCGCAGAGCUCCACCUCCAGCAGUGUCUCAGCAGUGGGCUGGUGGUACCUGAUAGAAAUGUCUGUUCUUGCAGGGGUGGGAGGGAUGCAAGGAUGAACACGGGCUCUGCUGUGCGCUGGGUGCCUCUCACACCACCCUUUAAACGAGGUUGAUCCUGCUGAAGGGUCUGAGGGACAAGGAGUGGAUAAUUCUGGCUGAGUUUAUUCCGUGGCUGCUGCUGCCCAACACCAACCCUGGUGCUCUUUGCUGUUGCAUCCCUCUGCAAGGUGGGCAGAAGGGCAAAGAGGAGAAGCUCAGCUCGUGAGAGAAAUCCCCAAACUGCUCCCUCUGGCUACUCCGAUCCGAGAAGCUGAACUUGCCCUGGAAGCUGUGGCUGGUGCUCCCAGGCCAUUGCACACUUCUCACUUGACUGCCCUGCUGGUGGCUUCACUUGUGGGAUGAAUUAUGCAAGAAAUGCUGUGUGUGAAGCUUCAGAAAUGCUGAGGUUUGAGAAGAGUCCUCUCGGUGCACGAACUUAUUUGUGGAUAAAGGCACACACUCACCUGGAUUCCAGCUCCUCCAGAAAAGGACACGAGGUGUGGGAAGGAUCCCAAAUUCAUCAGUGGACUCUGGUUUUGCUUUGGUGUGCUUGUAUCAUGUCUGAACGUGCAAAGAACUUGGUUUUCCACAAGGAAUCCAGUAAAUGGCACCUCUGUAAAUGAGUUA